CUACGUGCCAGCAGCCGCGGUAAUACGUAGGGGGCUAGCGUUAUCCGGAUUUACUGGGCGUAAAGGGUGCGUAGGUGGUCCUUCAAGUCGGUGGUUAAAGGCUACGGCUCAACCGUAGUAAGCCGCCGAAACUGGAGGACUUGAGUGCAGGAGAGGAAAGUGGAAUUCCCAGUGUAGCGGUGAAAUGCGUAGAUAUUGGGAGGAACACCAGUAGCGAAGGCGGCUUUCUGGACUGCAACUGACACUGAGGCACGAAAGCGUGGGUAGCAAACAGGAUUAGAUACCCUGGUAGUCCACGCUGUAAACGAUGAGUACUAGGUGUCGGGGGUUACCCCCCUCGGUGCCGCAGCUAACGCAUUAAGUACUCCGCCUGGGGAGUACGCACGCAAGUGUGAAACUCAAAGGAAUUGACGGGGACCCGCACAAGUAGCGGAGCAUGUGGUUUAAUUCGAAGCAACGCGAAGAACCUUACCUAAGCUUGACA
rnacentral:rRNA from 1 species